AGAGUUUGAUCCUGGCUCAGGAUGAACGCUAGCGGCAGGCCUAAUACAUGCAAGUCGAACGGAUCUGAGUAGCAAUACUUAGAUUAGUGGCGCACGGGUGCGUAACGCGUAUGCAACCUACCUUUUAUUGGGGGAUAGCCCGUCGAAAGACGGAUUAAUACCGCAUAAUAUCCUUUGAUGGCAUCUGAAGAGGAUUAAAGCUACGGCGAUAGAAGAUGGGCAUGCGUGACAUUAGCUAGUUGGUUGAGGUAACGGCUCACCAAGGCUACGAUGUCUAGGGGUUCUGAGAGGAUGAUCCCCCACACUGGUACUGAGAUACGGACCAGACUCCUACGGGAGGCAGCAGUAGGGAAUAUUGGGCAAUGGGCGCAAGCCUGACCCAGCCAUGCCGCGUGCAGGAUGAAGGCCUUCUGGGUUGUAAACUGCUUUUACCAGGGAAGAAAAAACGCUUGCGAGCGGAACUGACGGUACCUGGUGAAUAAGCACCGGCUAACUCCGUGCCAGCAGCCGCGGUAAUACGGAGGGUGCAAGCGUUGUCCGGAUUUAUUGGGUUUAAAGGGUGCGUAGGCGGCCUGUUAAGUCCGUGGUGAAAGCCAACAGCUCAACUGUUGAACUGCCAUGGAUACUGCCAGGCUUGAGUACAGACGAGGUAGGCGGAAUUGAUGCUGUAGCGGUGAAAUGCAUAGAUAGCAUCAAGAACACCGAUUGCGUAGGCAGCUUACUAGGCUGUAACUGACGCUGAGGCACGAAAGCGUGGGGAGCGAACAGGAUUAGAUACCCUGGUAGUCCACGCCGUAAACGAUGAUUACUCGAUGUUGGCGAUAAACUGUCAGCGUCUUAGCGAAAGCGUUAAGUAAUCCACCUGGGGAGUACGCCCGCAAGGGUGAAACUCAAAGGAAUUGAC
rnacentral:rRNA from 1 species